CCUGGGUUCUGUGACAGGGCCCCCGGCCAGGGCCUUCAAAUGAAGAAGACUGGAGUCUCCUCUUGCGCACUGUUUUGAAAACCGUGGGCCGUGACACAAUAAUCGAUCAUUAAAGAAAUUCAGGCUGCACAACAGAACUUUCUGCAAUGAUGGAAAUGUAACAACCUGUGGCUGCUGAGCACGCGGAGCGCGGCUAGCGUGGCUGAGGAACCGAACUCUUCUUUCUAACUCGUGUCAAUAGGCGCGUGCGGCCAGCGGCUACCGGAAUCGGACAGUGCACCCCCAACUUUCAGCUCACCAGGGGAGAGCCGUGCUGAUCUUGCCUGGCACAUGGAAGGCACUGCACAAAUAUCUGUUGAAUGAACCACAGCUGCCAUGUAUUACAUGCUCGCUUGUGCCAAGCACACUAAGAACUCGCUCUAAGUAAUUUGGUAUAGUCCCCCCACAGCCGCUGAGGUGGGAUUAGAGUUUGUAUACAGCGCUGGCAGAUAGCUUCCAGAGCAGUUCCUGCCUGUCGCACACACUCUGGUGUCCAUGGCAUACCUCAGCCUAGAUGGCGGACCCUCCUCCAUACAG